AGCGAACGCUGGCGGCAGGCUUAACACAUGCAAGUCGAGCGGGCGUAGCAAUACGUCAGCGGCAGACGGGUGAGUAACGCGUGGGAACGUACCUUUUGGUUCGGAACAACACAGGGAAACUUGUGCUAAUACCGGAUAAGCCCUUACGGGGAAAGAUUUAUCGCCGAAAGAUCGGCCCGCGUCUGAUUAGCUAGUUGGUGAGGUAACGGCUCACCAAGGCGACGAUCAGUAGCUGGUCUGAGAGGAUGAUCAGCCACAUUGGCACUGAGAUACGGGCCAGACUCCUACGGAGGCAGCAGUAGGGAAUAUUGGUCAAUGGAUGCAAGUCUGAACCAGCCAUGCCGCGUGCAGGAGAAGGCCUCUGGUUGUAAACUGCUUUUGCCAGGGGA
rnacentral:rRNA from 1 species